AAACGCCCAGCUUGGCCAACGUGAGGCGAGUAACGAGAACGAGACGUGGCUGCAAAAACUCCAGGUCCAGCAGAACCCAUUGGACCAACCAUGUGACAAAAUUCAUGGAGAUUGUAGAGAAUGUGGAGCACAGAGAGAUGGGACAGCAGGAGUACUAGUAUCAGGACAAACUGGAGCAGAAGGCAUUGCAGGACUCGAUGGCCCAUAAGGUACACGUGGUGCGCAUGGAAAACUCGGACCCCUCAGUCUACCAGAAAAAGUCAUGCAUCUGCUGCAUAUUUUGUUCCUGUACGAUCAACAUACAAGUACGGCCCUGCAACCUAUUAAAGAGAUACAGACAGAACAGAUCAAAAAGCUAACUUGGUGAAUAUGUGCACAUGAAAAUGGUGUCUGGGUAUGCCAGGCCUGUGCUCGAGUUUGUGUUGCAGUCGGUUUGUGAUAAUAGUGCAAAUACUGAUUAGAUAGAUUAGAGUAUAACAAUUAUUGCUGUACUUGUAUUGUGAUAUAUACCAAUGACUGACAAGGAUGUAAUGCAGUAA